CAGGGAUGGUGAUGGCCGGUUGAAGUGUUGACUGAGCUUGGAGCCAGGUGCACGGUGGCUGCUAGGCGCCUUCACUCCAUCCUGGAACAGCAGGAGAAAGUGCCUCAUGAAGUUCGGAAGAAAUAAAGGGAACCUAAGCAUGUUGCAGGGCUGCUUUAUCUCACAAAAAGCACAUCAACAGCAUCUGCUCUUCAACAGGACAACAGAACCAGGCCUCCUGACUGCCCCUCCCUGCGCUCCGGGCCUGCAGAAGGCGCCUGAUGUGACUUCGCAUUAUUUUGAAGCUGGAAAGGCAGACAUUUUAAGCCCUAAAGAGGUUUUGCCUUCUGAGCACCAGCACAAAAGGGAACUUUCAGUAAUUCC
rnacentral:lncRNA from 1 species